rnacentral:lncRNA from 1 species
UUUAUCAUUUCAUAGAUCUAAUUUUAAGUAUUAGGCUAAUAUAAUUCACUAAACAUGUUUAACUUAUGUCUUCUUACAACUUGCACCUGGAAUACAUACAAAGUAAUACAUUGAGUACUAAUUUGACCUUGUUGUCUCUUCACAGGCCAGCACAUCAAGUAUUUACAUUCAGCUGCUUCUCUCAAUGGAUGUUGCCUGCCAUACAGACUACCUGGAAACACAUACCAGGAUAGUCGCCACACGACUAUCCUUAAAGACUUUGCUGCCCCAUUUUACAAGCGACGAAUUUAGAGACCAUAGCCCGCAGCGCAGCGGCACCUCAGAGAGUCUGGGUGUGGACGCCCCUGGCUCCUCCCACAUGUCCAGUCACAACAGGGAGCUGCGGAUCCUGAGCGUCUACGGAAAAGGGGAGGGCCCACUGGCGGUGGACGGCCAUGACACCCUCUUCACCGCGUCCGAAGUGGAGGCCCUGAACUCGCUGUCUGCGGACAACAGCGUGGUCAAGAGCCUGGAGCGCGGCGCGCGGCUGGUCUGCCACGAGGAGCUGCGUGUGCAGGUUGGAAAUCAUCUUCUUAUUCAGCAUCCAAAAGAGAGGCUUCCUCUGUUACAACUCCAGCACACACCCUUAGAAAGCUCACACAUCUAUGAUUUAAUGAGUCGUAUGUGUAGCCUGGCUAUUUCCAGACUCGUUGGUCUAGGGAAGUUGCUGUCAUUUUCUUCAGCACAAGAGGCUUGAUCAACGGGCCUAGUUCAACUGACUCUGUACGCAAAUGGCUGCUUGCCGUCGCUUCCCUGUCGUCAUUGUGUUAAACCAGCCAAUAGGAUGCCAGGGGGAGAAGCCAACUUGGUGAUUGGCGUUGUCGCACCAAAAUUGUACCGGGGGUGAAAAUUGUACCACCUACGUAAUUUGGUUCGAAACAUUAAGUCAUCGUUUCGACACGAUUGUCCGUUGCUUGGCAGGUUUAAAAAAACAUUCGCGCUCAUGUUGCCAAAGAAGAAAAAACAUAAUGCAGACAACACUUUUUUUUACUUUAUAUUUAUUUUGUAUUGAAUAUAGCUAGUAAACUGAGUGUUUUAUAGUGUAUCAUAGUCUAGC